AGAAUAUAAAUUUAAUUUCGACUUAAAUAUAUGAUUAAUUAAUCAAUUCUU
rnacentral:tRNA from 1 species